GGUACCUUUCUCUCCUGCUUGAGGCCCGGUGGCGUAGAGCAAUCAUUUUAGCUAGGUGUAAUGUCCUGCCUACUUCCUUUAGCCUUGGACGCCACCUUGGAAUUCCACAUAAAGAAAGGAAAUGCCUGUGUGGCAUGGGUU